AAAAAAUAAAUAUUAAAAUUCAGCUAAAAGGAACUGCUCCAAAUUGAUCUACAGUUGUCAUUGUCGUCGUAAUCUUUGAACUCUCUUUAAGGGGGGGGUGCUCCAAACAAAUCUCGUCUUGCAUUGUCAGCAGUAUUAUGAGUGGGCGGGGUAGAGGAACGUCCGUCAAAUGAAGUGCUACCAAAGUCAUCCGUAGGAAAUGGACUGCCAGUCUGUGAGGUUGGUCUCUGAUCCUACUCUUUGUGGAGUGAAAUGACCAAAAGCAUCCAGUCCACUGUCUACGCUCUUAAGGAAUCCUGCAUUCUGAUUGGACGGCUUCAGGUUCGAUACUCGUUGUGGUCGUGGCGACUUAGACCUGUUACCUCUUCCGCGAGGUCGAUCUCGAGAUGAAAUGGUUGUCGUGGUAACCGAUGUGGCAAUAGCCCUCAUAGCGUUGAUGGGGGUGAUAGUCACGGAGGGUUUUGAUUGGUUUGUUGGUUUCUUAGCAACAGGACGAGUUUUUUUCGGAGAAGGGAGGGGAUUGGGUGGACCAGGGGAACGCUGUGUGUAUAAUUAUAUAUGGUGAAAUAAAUAAACACUCAAGGUCACCAAUGUAUAAUCGAUAAGCACCCUCUAUAAUACAGCCAGGUUAAUGGGUCCCAAAGUCUCCAUAGCAUGUGUUUGGACCUGUGUUAGCAGACAACCCUCUAUAAUACAGCCAGGUUAAUGGGCUUGUGUUUGGGCCUGUGUUAGCAGUUUUAUAAUACAGCCACUGUUGGUCUACCCACCACUAAGGUACUCACACAGACAUUAGUGACAUGUUUGGUGGUUCCUGUGAUCCUGGACACCACCUCACACACUUGCCAGAUACUGGUACGCAGCUCAGGGUCAGAGGUCAACAGGUAGGCUACAAGGAGGGGGAGAAUACACGUAUACCAUUAGAGCAAUACACAUAAGACUUAAGGCUGGUGGUGUGUGUGUGUGUGGAUGUGGGUGUGGUCUCACCUCUCAAGUUGUGCAGGGAGAGUCUUCAGGAAUGCUGUACUGAGCACUGACUAUGGCUAGAGGGUUGUCACCAAAUGGAGUAUCCAUGAAGCACAGCUUGAACAGUAGUACGCCCAGUGCCUGUGUGUGGGCGGGUGUGUGUUGUGUGAGGGUGUGAUGAUAUGGGUAUUAUUAGAUUCGUCUCAUUGAGAGCUUUCAAAUGAGUAUCACUAGUAAACGUGCUUAUACACAGAGAAAAGAGGUUUUAGACCCUGAGCGUGUGCUAUAUUAGCACCGUGGUGUGCUAAACAGUGAUUCAGCACACUACAUGUGCUGUUUUGUAGGCAUAUAGCACAGCCUAUGUGUUGUAUCAAGAGCCCAUAAAGAAAAGGAGCGGCUAACUUCAACGUACACUCGGGGAUCACAUCUCGUAAUUACCGGUGAAACCGCACUUCCUUGUAUGGAAGCGACUAAGUGCUUGCAAACCGCAUCCCUGCAUUGCUUAUAACACGUGUAGGGAUUCAACCAAUUAAGUGACUCUGCAUAAUUUAUAUGGAAAUGCGGUCAUAACCAAUUACGAGAUGUGAUCCCCGUAGUUAGCCGCUCCUUCUCUUUAUGGGCUCCUGGUUGUAUUGGUGUGCUUUUUCAUGGCUUGUAAUUUUGAUGUUCGAUUAAUGUGCUAAAUGGACUGUGCUAAAUGUAAUGGGUGUGCUGAAACAGGUAAACAUGCUAAUUCAGCACAGUGUGCUGUUUUCAGUACCAAAUAAGGGCAUGCAGUACAACAGAUGUGCAGCUGCAGCUGCAUAGCAACAAAUACUUUUUUUUUAUUUGCUGUUCUUGCAAAGAAGAAAAGAAGUCGAGUUUAGACAUGGUUUGAGAGCUGUUUGACAAAACUGUGGAACUAGGAAGGACAAGCAAGUAAAAGGGCUCAACAAAAUGGAGACCAAUUGAAGCCUAUAAUUAUUGCCCAAGUUUCAUAGCACAAUAAGCACAACAGAAGGUGAUCUUUAUUUCAUCACAAACAAGAGAUGGGAAUGGAAGUCAGUGACACGGUCUUCAUCCGUGGGAAACUUGUGUUCCCUUGUGAAGACAUUAUUCUGACACAGCUCCUCUACACGUGUGUGUUGAAACUGUGUGUGGGGGAGCAUGUUUAUAAGAUGCUCAACAAUGGGAGAUAUUAAUAUCGAGUUUAAUCAAAAGCUUGUAAUAAGUGAAUAGUGCAUUCUGUAGCUAUUGGAGAGGACUAUAUAUCACACGCCUGACAACCACACCAUCACUAUAUUAUUAUAGCAUCAUACUGUAAAGCAAUCCCUAAUUUGAUAGGCUUUCAAGGAGCUACAAAAUGGACAAUCUCUACUGUGAUUAUUAUUUAUAAUGCACCUAUCAAUGUGAUGCCCCCCAGGAGGGGUCGGGCUAACAUGAGGGAGUUGACCAUACCCCAGGUCAAGCUUCCCCAUGGUGGGGGAGGAUUCUGUCUUCAAAUCCCCCAUUCCCCCAGUCAACACUGGCCAGGGUUUGAGCCUCAAGCAGUUGCAUACACAAUCUCCUAUACAGUUCUACUGAAAAUUAAUAAGUCAUCAAUUAUUAUUGUCUAGUAAUAAGGUAGCGCUCACCUUUCCCCUGAGUCAGAGUGUUGGUCCAUUUGUGUCCAGUGCACCGUGCUAGCUAGUAGGACCACUCCAAUGGAUGUGCUCUCAGAGUAUUAGAAUGAAGCACAUGAACAGUGGCUAAAGGAUCAUCACACUAUUAGACAAAAUAUGUUUCAUUUUGUAGAUUUGAUGACAACAUGCUCACACACAAGAUGGAGACGGUUGGGGAGGAAAAGCGUUCACUUGUCCUUCCCUCUAGGAGCUUCCACAAGGCUGGAUAUCUGGUGAAUACUCCUCCAAAAGACCAGCAGCAAUGGAUCACAAGGCAAAGAGCAGUGAGUACAAAUUAGUGAGGGUCAGUUGUUCACUCUGUUGGAUGCUGAUGAUGAUCCACCCAUUGGACGUCAGAUAAAAAUACAGUCGACCUAAGGAACAUGAAGGAGCCUCCAUCACAACGCCAGCGAUAUUUCCAUAGUCAUGAUGAGGUACGCU